AUACAUUUCAUGUCAUCAGUAUGUGUCAUGUCGUUAUAAACAAGGUGUUCGAUUUGAAGGGCUCCAUGAGAAGUCGAUUCAUUGAUCCAUCUAAAGAGAGCAGUGGGGACGUACUGUUGGAUGAGAACUACCUUCAAUCAAUUUGCUGCAACCCAGUGUACGUGUACCCCCACUCCAAGUGUGUACUGAUGCAGGCCAUACUAGCCGACACUGAGUUCCUGGCACAGAACGCCAUCAUGGACUACUCUCUCUAAUCACUUGCAUCGAUGACUCUACGGGAGAACUUGUCGUUGGAAUUAUUGGUAAGCUUGUGAGGGGGUAGGGAAGUGUGUGGCUUGUAAAACAACAAGCUACGUCGUUCAGUUCCUCUCGACGUUUGUUGAUUGUGAUUGUGCCAUGAAGAUUGUUUGUAAUAUUCUUUUUGAAUUAAAGAUGUCUUAUAACUUUAAUCACGAGUUGCAAUCCGUUCAUCAAUUUAAUAGUUGUGAACGUCAAGUGUAUUAAUUUUCUGAUCAUAUAAUUAUUCUUUCUCCCUCCCCAACAAACUAUAUCCGUACCUUUACGCUGGAUAAGAGGGUGGAAAUGUUCCUCAAGAAGACAGCUGGGAAGACGCUACCAACUGUCGUGUACCCUGAACUCUACCAUAAGAGAUUCUGCGAGGCAAUGGACAAAUAUUUCACUGUAGUGCCUGAUAAAUGGACAGGGCUGGGUGCAGACGUCAAGUACUAGCAUUGUAUUAAAAUUAUUAUAAUUAUGUGUGUCAUGUCUCCGUCGUGAUUUUGUUUUUAUUGCUCAAAGCAUCACUGUAAUGUGACUAUGUUCUCUGUCUUCAAUUGUUAUUUCUGAAAUGUUGAUAGAAAUGUGCUGUCAGUGCUUUUGUUG